AGCUUCUGGAGCGCUGGUGGCAGCCACUGCUGGACCCGUUGCGGGCCUGUCUGCCGUUGGGACCCCGGGCGCUGCCCAGUGGCUUCCCCCUUCACACAGACAUCCUCGGGUAGGGCUCGGAUGGAGGGAGUGGGUUGGGGGUCAUGUCCUCUUCCCCAGCCAUGACAUUCCCUUCCCUUUCCCACAGGCUGCUGCUCCUCCACCUGGAACUGAAACGCUGCCUCUUCACCGUGGAGCCCUUGGGGGAUAAAGAGCCUUCACCAGAACAGCGCCGGCGCCUCCUCCGAAACUUCUAUACCCUGGUCACCUCCACGCACUUCCCACCAGGUCAGCGGAAGGCACAGUGCUCCCACUGCGCAGGCGGGGACACUGAGUCCCAGGUCGCACAAAAUGGGAGUAGGAGGUGGGGUUGGAGGAUCCGGAGGAACCCAGUAUGCACUGGGCCUUAGGGCAGUGGUUUUCCUUGAGAUCUGAGCAUUGAUGCAGAUGGGAAGGGUGGGAAGGGAGGUCCCUGCCUGGCUUCAGAAUCUCCUGAAUAGUUAACACUGAGACCUCACCUCUUCCCAGUGCCUUUACACGUAAUGAAAGAAUGAAAUCACUUCAU
rnacentral:sRNA from 1 species